AUUUUGUGAUGAAGGCAUCAUCAUAAUAGUUCUUUAAACCUUUCCCAAGCGUCAUACAAGGACUUAUCAUCGACCUGCUUGAAGGUAGUGAUCUUGUUCCUCAACUU
rfam:Gossypium hirsutum cultivar TM-1 chromosome 12, whole genome shotgun sequence